rnacentral:rRNA from 1 species
AUUGAACGCUGGCGGCAGGCCUAACACAUGCAAGUCGAGCGAGCGGCGGACGGGUGAGUAAUGUCUGGGAAACUGCCUGAUGGAGGGGGAUAACUACUGGAAACGGUAGCUAAUACCGCAUACCAUCAGAUGUGCCCAGAUGGGAUUAGCUAGUGGGUAGGGUAACGGCUCACCUAGGCGACGAUCCCUAGCUGGUCUGAGAGGAUGACCAGCCACACGGGAAUUGAGACACGGUCCAGAGUCCUACGGGAGGCAGCAUUGAGGAGUAUUGCACAAGGGGCGCAAACGUGAUGCAUCCAUGCCGGGUGUCUGAAGAAGGACUUCGGGUUGUAAAGCACUUUCAGCGGGGAGGCGUUACCCGCAGAGGAAGCACCGGCUAACACCGUGCCAGCAGCCGCGGGAAUAC